rnacentral:rRNA from 1 species
AACGAACGCUGGCGGCAGGCUUAACACAUGCAAGUCGAGCGCCCCGCAAGGGGAGCGGCAGACGGGUGAGUAACGCGUGGGAACGUACCUUUUGGUUCGUAACAACUCCGGGAAACUGGAGCUAAUACCGGAUAAGCCCUAACGGGGAAAGAUUUAUCGCCGAAAGAUCGGCCCGCGUCUGAUUAGCUAGUUGGUGAGGUAACGGCUCACCAAGGCGACGAUCAGUAGCUGGUCUGAGAGGAUGAUCAGCCACACUGGGACUGAGACACGGCCCAGACUCCUACGGGAAGCAGCAGUGGGGAAUAUUGGACAAUGGGCGCAAGCCUGAUCCAGCCAUGCCGCGUGAGUGAUGAAGGCCUUAGGGUUGUAAAGCUCUUUUGUCCGGGAAGAUAAUGACUGUACCGGAAGAAUAAGCCCCGGCUAACUUCGUG